GACGUAGGGCGCGAGCGUUGUCCGGAUUUAUUGGGCGUAAAGAGCUCGUAGGCGGCUUGUCGCGUCGACUGUGAAAUCCCGCGGCUCAACUGCGGGUCUGCAGUCGAUACAGGCAGGCUAGAGUUCGGUAGGGGAGACUGGAAUUCCUGGUGUAGCGGUGAAAUGCGCAGAUAUCAGGAGGAACACCGGUGGCGAAGGCGGGUCUCUGGGCCGAUACUGACGCUGAGGAGCGAAAGCUAGGGGGAGCAAACAGG
rnacentral:rRNA from 1 species